ACCCAUAGACUAAUAAUACUACUGGAGUGGACCAGGCAAAGCAAGUUGGUGCUAUGGGAUCUCCACUUCUAUAGAGCUUCCUCAGGAACCUACACACCCCUUUAAAGUCGGAGACAGAGUCGUGGUGAAGGUGCUCCCCAGGAACAAGAGCCCAGGAGACUUUACCUACGGUCCAGAGACAGAGGUCGUAGCAGUAACCAGAACAGCAGUCCUGACAGAGGAAAGCCCCACCUGGAUCCAUGCAUCCCGAGUGAAAAAGGUUCCUAGACCAGACCUAGAGAGGGAAGCAAGUGAUUCCAGCGAGGUACGAACGGGGGCAGACAGCCCUGACCUCCCACCUAGCGAAGACAGAAGAACAGAGGAAGAUGAGGAACCUGUCCCCUACCUCUAUCCUGGGGACUAUGUUGAUAAUCCUAAUGGUCCUCACUUGCCAAGCUACAGCUGAAGUAGACAUUACACAAAAAUCCGGCACCUACACAUUUUGGUAUAACUCCUCCAAUACUGAGGUUGCCACCUACAAAAUAGAUUUCUGUACCAUUGCUCCCUGUCUUAACAAAUAUUAUUCCUGGCAGUGUGAUCAGUAUGGUACACGUAAUACCCCCAUUGAAGCCUAUAUUUGUGUUACUAGUAAAUAUUGGGGAAAUAAAUGUGCGUAUUGGGGAUCAGUGGGAUGGAAUUCUGGCCAUGGUUAUGGAUACCAGCCCAAAGAGGCUCUCUCAAGUAAAGACAAAUAUGGUGAGUCCCUGCUUACCCGUCUUACCCUUCAUAGACAAAACAGAUGUGAUAGUAAAUUCAUAUUAAGCAUAAAACAUCCCCAGUCUACUGAUGCAGGCACCUAUGUCCUAGGUGAAUCUUUUUUUUAAACCCAUCCCUUACACCAUUCUUGUUACAGGAUAUGUUUAACAAUGAAAAGUAUGCCCAGCUCAAGCCCUCUAAACCACGCCCCAACCUCUUGAAACCUCAUAUAACCACCUUCAAGGAUAUGAUGGCCGUUAACAAUCCCACCUUUAAAGACACCCUAGCUAUUGAAACUGGUUUCUCUGACAUCAAUUUCUGGUUGGAAUGGAUGAAGUAUAGUGCUAACAAACACAAUAAAAGCAACUGUUAUGUCUGUGGCAAAUCUAGGCCCCACCUCGGUACAGUGCCCCUUAAUAUACCCCUAGAACAGGAAAAUUGUUUUUUCAGCCUUUUUAAUGACACCAAAACAAAUGAUAGUCAGUGCGAAAUGUGGAAAAGGGAAUAUCCCAUAUUGUCAAAAAAUCCCAACCCAGGAAGCACCAUAACCAUAUAUCCUGGAAACUAUACCUGUUAUACAUCUAACACCACCACAGGGAGAAAUCUAAAAACCUUCCCACCAGGGUAUUGUGCAAAUAAAAGAACAACUGUUUUAGUCAACCAAACUAGAUCAUUAGGCGACAUUUAUUACAUAUGUGGGGAUAUGAAACUUAGAAUUAAAUUAGACACACCAUGGUAUGGUGAGUGUGCCCUGGCCAAAGUCAUAAUGCCACUCCUAAUGAUCACCGAUGACCCCACUCCUCCCUCUAAUACUCCUGCUAAUCGAAAGAAAAGAGCACUCCCAGGAGGUAGCUUUGACCCCCACGUAUACAUUGAUGCUAUAGGGGUCCCAAGAGGUGUUCCAAAUGAGUUCAAAGCUAGAGAUGAAGUGGCUGCGGGUUUUGAAUCAUUGUUUCCUAUAGUAACUGUAAAUAAAAACGUAGCCUGGAUUAAUUAUAUAUAUUAUAAUCAACAAAGAUUUGUUAAUGAUACCAAAGAUGCUCUUAAAGGUAUAGCUGAACAGCUAGAAGCCACUUCCCAAAUGACAUUUCAAAAUAGAAUGGCCCUUGACAUGAUUCUAGCAGAAAAAGGCGGUACAUGUGUUUACAUUAGUAAGGUGGAAGGCUGUUGUACAUAUAUUCCUGACAACACUGGUCCCAAUGGUAAGGUUACUUUAGCCAUAAACAAGUUAGAAACCUUAUCCAUAGAACUUAAGAAAAAUUCAGGUAUUGAUAACCCAUGGAGCCAAUAUUUUGGGUGGUUUGAAAAUUGGAAACAGGCUCUUGUGCAAAUAAGCAUAUUUAUACUCAUAACUUUAAUUCUUUUAGGCAUUAUAGUUUAUUGUGUAAUUCCCUGUGGAAAGAAACUUACCUCCAAAGGCAUUGAUAAGGCCCUGAUGUAUUAUGAUAUAACUACCAGUCCUGUCACCUCCUCUGAUAGUGAGGGACCCGACGAUUAUGUCCAAUAUCUCAAGAACUGGAGAAACAAGAAAGGAGCCUCACUCCAGAAUCAUGUCAUAUAAUAAUCAUGAUUCUAAGAGGGGAUUGAAGGGUUACCUCUUCUGUCUUUGUACAUAUUACUUUUUAUAUGAUCAGUUUCCUUGUGGUGGUUACAGUGUAAAAGUGAAUAUUUCUAUUUCCCUAGUGAAGGGUUAAAACAUGCUAUAUGAACUCUUAUGUGUUUGCAUGGAUGCGUGCUGCCCUGUGCUAGGUGCCUUUGUCUCUCAUACAGAUACCAGGCUUGUGUGGGUCUGGCAUCCAAGGUCAGUUCUAUACCAGAUGAAACCUGCUUUUUCUACUUCUGUGUGUUACUAAAAGAUCUUGUGUUAAGUUCCGUUUGAUGCAACGUAUAUAACAUCUGCCUAGCAACUGCUAUAUCCAAUUAUGUUAUGUCAAGUAUUAACCACCCCUACGUACCCCACUAGGGCACCACCCCUAAGCCAAUGAGCCCUUUUACACUUAUCAGUUACACCCUUAUGUGUUCUCUUUUUAUACCAAUGUUAAAACAUUCAAUAAAGCAGAGUGAUUCUUAACUA